UAAAGCUCAGAUUUAGAAAUCUGGCGCCUUCGGUGUCCGAGUUGUAAUUUGAAGAUUGUAACCUUGGGGUUGGCUCUUGUCUAUGUUUCUUGGAACAGGACGUCACAGAGGGUGAGAAUCCCGUGCGAUGAGAUGCCCAAUUCUAUGUAAGGUGCUUUCGAAGAGUCGAGUUGUUUGGGAAUGCAGCUCUAAGUGGGUGGUAAAUUCCAUCUAAAGCUAAAUAUUGGCGAGAGACCGAUAGCGAACAAGUACAGUGAUGGAAAGAUGAAAAGAACUUUGAAAAGAGAGUGAAAAAGUACGUGAAAUUGUUGAAAGGGAAGGGUUUGAGAUCAGACUCGAUAUUUUGUGAGCCUUGCCUUCGUGGCGGGGUGACCCGCAGCUUAUCGGGCCAGCAUCGGUUUGGGCGGUAGGAUAAUGGCGUAGGAAUGUGACUUUACUUCGGUGAAGUGUUAUAGCCUGCGUUGAUGCUGCCUGCCUAGACCGAGGACUGCGAUUUUAUCAAGGAUGCUGGCAUAAUGAUCCCAAACC
rnacentral:rRNA from 1 species